rnacentral:rRNA from 1 species
UACGUAGGGUCCGAGCGUUGUCCGGAAUUAUUGGGCGUAAAGGGCUCGUAGGCGGUCUGUUGCGUCGGGAGUGAAAACUUACAGCUUAACUGUGAGCGUGCUUCCGAUACGGGCAGACUUGAGGUAUUCAGGGGAGAACGGAAUUCCUGGUGUAGCGGUGAAAUGCGCAGAUAUCAGGAGGAACACCGGUGGCGAAGGCGGUUCUCUGGGACGGUACUGACGCUGAGACGCGAAAGCGUGGGGAGCAAACAGG